rnacentral:tRNA from 1 species
GGGCCAGUAGCUCAGUUGGUUAGAGCACCGGGCUCAUAACCCGGCGGUCGUCGGUUCAAAUCCGACCUGGCCCA